rnacentral:rRNA from 2 species
UGCAAGUCGAACGAACUCUGGUAUUGAUUGGUGCUUGCAUCAUGAUUUACAUUUGAGUGAGUGGCGAACUGGUGAGUAACACGUGGGAAACCUGCCCAGAAGCGGGGGAUAACACCUGGAAACAGAUGCUAAUACCGCAUAACAACUUGGACCGCAUGGUCCGAGUUUGAAAGAUGGCUUCGGCUAUCACUUUUGGAUGGUCCCGCGGCGUAUUAGCUAGAUGGUGGGGUAACGGCUCACCAUGGCAAUGAUACGUAGCCGACCUGAGAGGGUAAUCGGCCACAUUGGGACUGAGACACGGCCCAAACUCCUACGGGAGGCAGCAGUAGGGAAUCUUCCACAAUGGACGAAAGUCUGAUGGAGCAACGCCGCGUGAGUGAAGAAGGGUUUCGGCUCGUAAAACUCUGUUGUUAAAGAAGAACAUAUCUGAGAGUAACUGUUCAGGUAUUGACGGUAUUUAACCAGAAAGCCACGGCUAACUACGUGCCAGCAGCCGCGGUAAUACGUAGGUGGCAAGCGUUGUCCGGAUUUAUUGGGCGUAAAGCGAGCGCAGGCGGUUUUUUAAGUCUGAUGUGAAAGCCUUCGGCUCAACCGAAGAAGUGCAUCGGAAACUGGGAAACUUGAGUGCAGAAGAGGACAGUGGAACUCCAUGUGUAGCGGUGAAAUGCGUAGAUAUAUGGAAGAACACCAGUGGCGAAGGCGGCUGUCUGGUCUGUAACUGACGCUGAGGCUCGAAAGUAUGGGUAGCAAACAGGAUUAGAUACCCUGGUAGUCCAUACCGUAAACGAUGAAUGCUAAGUGUUGGAGGGUUUCCGCCCUUCAGUGCUGCAGCUAACGCAUUAAGCAUUCCGCCUGGGGAGUACGGCCGCAAGGCUGAAACUCAAAGGAAUUGACGGGGGCCCGCACAAGCGGUGGAGCAUGUGGUUUAAUUCGAAGCUACGCGAAGAACCUUACCAGGUCUUGACAUACUAUGCAAAUCUAAGAGAUUAGACGUUCCCUUCGGGGACAUGGAUACAGGUGGUGCAUGGUUGUCGUCAGCUCGUGUCGUGAGAUGUUGGGUUAAGUCCCGCAACGAGCGCAACCCUUAUUAUCAGUUGCCAGCAUUAAGUUGGGCACUCUGGUGAGACUGCCGGUGACAAACCGGAGGAAGGUGGGGAUGACGUCAAAUCAUCAUGCCCCUUAUGACCUGGGCUACACACGUGCUACAAUGGAUGGUACAACGAGUUGCGAACUCGCGAGAGUAAGCUAAUCUCUUAAAGCCAUUCUCAGUUCGGAUUGUAGGCUGCAACUCGCCUACAUGAAGUCGGAAUCGCUAGUAAUCGCGGAUCAGCAUGCCGCGGUGAAUACGUUCCCGGGCCUUGUACACACCGCCCGUCACACCAUGAGAGUUUGUAACACCCAAAGUCGGUGGGGUAACCUUUUAGGA